rnacentral:rRNA from 1 species
GGUUGCGAUCAUACCAGCACUAAUGCACCUGAUCCCAUUAGAACUUUGCAGUUAAGCGUGCUGGGGCGAGAGUAGUACUAGGAUGGGUGACCCCCUGGGAAGUCCUCGUGUUACAACCC